GAUGAACGCUAGCGAUAGGCCUAACACAUGCAAGUCGAGGGGCAUCACAUGAAGUAGCAAUACGGAUGGUGGCGACCGGCACACGGGUGAGUAACACGUAUGCAACCUACCUGUAAGCGGGGAAUAACCCGUUGAAAGACGGACUAAUACCGCAUAAUACUGGAGAUCUGCAUGGAUAUUCAGUUAAACAUUUAUGGCUUACAGAUGGGCAUGCGCAUGAUUAGAUAGUUGGAGAGGUAACGGCUCCCCAAGUCAACGAUCAUUAGGGGUUCUGAGAGGAAGGUCCCCCACACUGGGACUGAGACACGGCCCAGACUCCUACGGGAGGCAGCAGUGAGGAAUAUUGGUCAAUGGACGCAAGUCUGAACCAGCCACGUCGCGUGAAGGAAGACGGCCCUACGGGUUGUAAACUUCUUUUAUACGGGAAUAAAGUGCCCCAGCGUGGGUUUUGCAUGUACCGUAUGAAUAAGGAUCGGCUAACUCCGUGCC
rnacentral:rRNA from 1 species